rnacentral:rRNA from 1 species
UCUUAAUGAUAGUUGGGAAAGUUUUUUCGCCAAGGGAUCGGGCUAUAUGGUAUCAGUUAGUUGGUGAGGUAAUGGCUCACCAAGACGAUGAUGCCUAGCUGGUCUGAGAGGAUGGUCAGCCACACUGGAACUGAGACACGGUCCAGACUCCUACGGGAGGCAGCAGUGGGGAAUAUUGCACAAUGGGGGAAACCCUGAUGCAGCAACGCCGCGUGGAGGAUGACGCAUUUCGGUGUGUAAACUCCUUUUAUAUAGAAAGAUAAUGACGGUACUAUAUGAAUAAGCACCGGCUAACUCCGUGCCAGCAGCCGCGGUAAUACGGAGGGUGCAAGCGUUACUCGGAAUCACUGGGCGUAAAGCGCGCGCAGGCGGUUUGAUAAGUUGGAUGUGAAAUCCUAUGGCUUAACCAUAGAACUGCAUCCAAAACUGUCAAACUAGAGUCUGGGAGGGGAAGAUGGAAUUAGUGGUGUAGGGGUAAAAUCCGUAGAGAUCACUAGGAAUACCAGAAGCGA